rnacentral:lncRNA from 1 species
UAGAAAGCAAGCCAUCAUGAAGGCUUCAUGGUACUUCUGAAGAAUGUUAAUGAAAGUCUACAAAGUUUGGCUGCAUAUCAAUAUUUUUGUCAUGAAGGAUCAUUUGUUUUGUUGUUGUUUGUUUACAGUUGCCAAGUCAUGUCCGACUCUUCUGCGACCCACCAGACUCCUCUGUCCAUGGAAUUUUUCAAGCAAGAAUACUGGAGCAAGUUACCGUUUCUUUCUCCAGGGGACCUUCCCAACCCAGGGAUUGAACCAGAGUCUCUUGCAUUGCUCAGCUGCCAGGGAAGGAUCAUUUAUGGAGAAACAAAUGAACUGUCAUAUUUUCUUUGGGGCUGCCAUGCCUGAAGAUUUCCUAAAGGAAAUCAGCCCUAAAUAUUCACUGGGAGGACUGAUGCUGAAGCUGAAGCUCCAAUACUUUGGCCACCUGAUGCAAAUAGCCACCUCACUGGAAAAGACCCUGAUGCUGGGAAAGAUUGAGGGCAAGAGGAGAAGGGGGCGACAGAGGAUGAAAUGGUUGGAUGGCAUCACUGACUCAAUGGACAUGAGUUUGAGCAAACUCAGGGAGAUAAUGAAGGACCAGGAAGCCUGGUGUACUGCAAUCCACAGGGCUGCAGAGUCUGACACAACUUAG